UGGGGAAUAUUGCACAAUGGGCGAAAGCCUGAUGCAGCAACGCCGCGUGAGUGAUGAAGGCCUUCGGGUUGUAAAAGCUCUGUCUUUUGGGACGAUAAUGACGGUACCAAAGGAGGAAGCCACGGCUAACUACGUGCCAGCAGCCGCGGUAAUACGUAGGUGGCAAGCGUUGUCCGGAAUUUACGGGCGUAAAGGAUGCGUAGGCGGAUUUUUAAGUGAGAUGUGAAAACCCUAAGCUUAACUUGGGGACUGCAUUUCAUACUGGAAAUCUAGAGUGCGGGAGAGGAGAAUGGAAUUCCUAGUGUAGCGGUGAAAAUGCGUAGAGAUUAGGAAGAACACCAGUGGCGAAGGCGAUUCUCUGGACCGUAACUGACGCUGAGGCAUGAAAGCGUGGGUAGCAAACAGGAUUAGAUACCCUGGUAGUCCACGCCGUAAACGAUGAGUACUAGGUGUAGGAGGUAUCGACCCCCUUCUGUGCCGCAGUUAAAC
rnacentral:rRNA from 1 species